rnacentral:rRNA from 1 species
GAUGAAUGCUGGCGGCGUGCCUAAUACAUGCAAGUCGAACGACCGGACGAGAAGCUUGCUUCUCUGAUUUUCGCGGCGCACGGGUGUGUAACACGUGUAUAACCCUCCUAAAUGACUGGGAUUACCUCGGGAAACCGUACCUUAUUCCCGCUAAUAUUUUGCACCGCAUGGUUCAAAAUUGAAAGACGUCCUUGCUGUCACUUAUCCAUGGUCCCGCGCUGCAUUAGCUAGUUGGUAAGGUAACGGCUUACCAAGGCAACGAUGCGUAGCUGACAUGAGAGGGUGAUAGGCCACACUGGAACUGAGACACGGUCCAGACUCCUACGGGAGGCAGCAGUAGGGAAUCUUCCGCAAUGGGCGAAAGCCUGACGGAGCAACGCCGCGUGGGUGAAGAAGGUCUUCGGGUCGUAAAACUCUGUUGUUGGGGAAGAAAAUAUGUAGAAGUAAAUGUGCAGAUCAUGACGGUACCUAAUGAGAAAGCAACGGCUAACUACGUG